AGAUUGAACGCUGGCGGCAGGCCUAACACAUGCAAGUCGAGCGGUAGAGAGGUGCUUGCACCUCUUGAGAGCGGCGGACGGGUGAGUAAUGCCUAGGAAUCUGCCUAGUGGUGGGGGAUAACGUUCGGAAACGGACGCUAAUACCGCAUACGUCCUACGGGAGAAAGCGGGGGACCUUCGGGCCUCGCGCCAUUAGAUGAGCCUAGGUCGGAUUAGCUAGUUGGUGAGGUAAUGGCUCACCAAGGCGACGAUCCGUAACUGGUCUGAGAGGAUGAUCAGUCACACUGGAACUGAGACACGGUCCAGACUCCGUACGGGAGCAGCAGUGGGGAAUAGUU
rnacentral:rRNA from 1 species